rnacentral:rRNA from 1 species
UACGUAGGGGGCAAGCGUUGUCCGGAAUUAUUGGGCGUAAAGGGCGCGUAGGCGGCCGCUCAAGUCGGGGGUGAAAGCCUGUGGCUUAACCACAGAAUUGCCUUCGAUACUGUUUGGCUUGAGACCGGAAGAGGUGAGUGGAACUGCGAGUGUAGAGGUGAAAUUCGUAGAUAUUCGCAAGAACACCAGUGGCGAAGGCGGCUCACUGGUCCGGUUCUGACGCUGAGGCGCGAAAGCGUGGGGAGCAAACAGG